AGCGCACAAGUGAAGGCAAAAUGAUGCUAGGUUUACGUAUUGAUGUACUUAACAUGUACGCAAAAUGAAAAUCAAUGCAAGUCACACUAUUUACAUGGGAGAGAACCCAACAAAGUAUCACAUGUAGUCUUUAUGCAAGGUCCCGGCUGUGUCCAAUGUUGCUUUUCAAGGUUCUAAACAUGCGUUCAGGGCGAUACUGAUCUUCUGAAAUGUUAAACCAAGGCACUGGUGUCGUUUAGGGGGCUCCAUCCAGCAAUCACUUUAAUGAUGGAUUCGGGACACCCUUUAUGACCAAGGACCUGGGUCUUGCGCAGUGCCGGCAGUGCAGUCACCGACACCAAAUGGGUCUCUUUCUCAUCAGAUUUACAGCAUCAUGACUUAUCACGGGUUUGUUGGAAAAGACUUCUCAUCUGCUUUUAAA